GACGAACGCUGGCGGCGUGCUUAACACAUGCAAGUCGAACGGUGAACCAGAGCUUGCUCUGGGGAUCAGUGGCGAACGGGUGAGUAACACGUGGGCAACCUGCCCAGACUCUGGGAUAACCUCGGGAAACCGAUGCUAAUACCGGAUACGACCACUUCGGACAUCCGACGGUGGUGGAAAGUUUUUCGGUCUGGGAUGGGCCCGCGGCCUAUCAGCUAGUUGGUGGGGUAAUGGCCUACCAAGGCGACGACGGGUAGCCGGCCUGAGAGGGCGACCGGCCACACUGGAACUGAGACACGGUCCAGACUCCUACGGGAGGCAGCAGUGGGGAAUAUUGCACAAUGGGCGAAAGCCUGAUGCAGCGACGCCGCGUGAGGGACGACGGCCUUCGGGUUGGUAAACCUCUUUCAGCAGGGACGAAGCGAAAGUGACUGUACCUGCAGAAGAAGACACCGGCUAACUACGUGCCAGCAGCCGCGGUAAU
rnacentral:rRNA from 1 species